AGGCCUGUGAUGAUCUUCUGUUGCUUAGUUGGAAUUACCGACUGAUGAUAUCUGUGAUGCAAAUCGUUGCUGCAACUGAGGCUUUUA
rnacentral:snoRNA from 1 species